GGAAAUUCCAUGCCCUUCCCACAUACCUUGCCCUGUGCAUCCACGUACUGAGAGGAUGACUCACCCCAACUCAGCAGCGACAGAAGCUCCUAUGCUCAGGACCUUCCCAGACUUCCCCCAAGUGUCUCUUCAUCUGGUUGUUCAUCUGUAUCCUUUAUCACAUCCUGUCAUAAACUGGUCAAGGAAGAUUAGCCCUGAGCUAACAUCCACUGCCAAUCCUCCUCUUUUUGCUGAGGAAGACUGGCCCUGAGCUAACACCCAUGCCCAUCUUCCUCUACUUUAUAUGUGGGACACCUGCCACAGCAUGGCCUGACAAGUCCACACCUGAGAUCACAGCCGGGGAACCCCAGGCCACCGAAGUAGAGCCCUCGAACUUCAAUACGACACUGGAUCUGCCCCAAAGUUGCAUUUCUUUUGUUACUAUUAUUGUUACAAAUGGCUUCACAUGUUUACUGAUCAUUUACACUUAGUUUUAAAUCACAUGUCUGUUAUGCUCCGUGCCUAUUCCUACUGGGGUGGUGUCUUUUUCCUAUUGAUUUGUAAUGAUAUCAACACUUUUUCAGAUAUAUAUUGAAUUGUCCUAAUUUAUCCUUUGCCUAUUAAUUUUGUUUAUGAUUUUUUUGAUGCACAAAAUCUUUUUGCUGUCAUAUUUUUCAAUCUUUCCCUUAUGGUUUCUACUUUUGAUAUUAAACUUAGAAUGGCUUUCCCCACAUGGACAUUAUAUGAGUAUUUUCCUCUAUUAUCUUUUUGGUAUCAUUUAUUAUAUUUAAUUCUUUAUCCCGUUUGAAAUUUAUGUUAGUAUGUGGUUUGGGGAAAGAUCAAAUUCUUAAUUUUCUAAGCCAUAUUUAUUCAUUUCCUACCCAUUUUGAAAUGCCACAUUUGUCAUAUUCUGAAUAUUUAAAGUACACCUUGGGGGGCCGGGCAGGUGGCGCAGCGGUUAAGUGCACACGUUGCGCUUUGGCGGCCCAGGGUUUGCCAGUUCAGAUCCCAGGUGCGGACAUGGCACCGCUUGGCAAGCCAUGCUGUG
rnacentral:lncRNA from 1 species